GAAGGGUGCAGCCGAAUAUUGGGAGAUCAACCGUGUCCUCAAUAGUUCAAACGUUUCGAAGAGAGAACAGGACUGCAAGAUUACCUCAAACCGGUGGCAGAGGACGCCUUUUCACACCUCAACAGGAGGAGGCUAUUUGCACCAUGGUCCGAGCAAACAAUGCCAUGAGACUCAGGGAAAUACAAAGGACCAUUAUAGAAGACAACGAUGUCUUUGAAAACAUCCAUACGGUUAGCAUCUCAACCAUCGACAGGGUGCUGCAUAGAAACCAGAUGAGUAUGAAACAGCUGUACCGUGUACCAUUCCAAAGGAAUGAGGACAGAGUUAAGGAGCUACGGUACCAGUAUAUACAGCGUAUAAUGGAGUUGGAAUCAAGUGAACCCUCUCACAACUUUGUAUACGUGGAUGAGGCUGGCUUCAACCUGACCAAAAGCAGAAGGCGGGGUCGGAAUAUCAUCGGUCACAGAGCUACUGUGGAUUUGCCAGGCCAACGGGGAGGAAAUAUCACCAUGUGUGCUGCUAUUUCGGAGCAUGGUGUCCUAACCCAUAUCCCCCUUAUAGGGCCAUACAACACCCAACAUCUA